rnacentral:rRNA from 1 species
GGGCCUAACACAUGCAAGUCGAACGAGAUCUUCGGAUCUAGUGGCGGACGGGUGAGUAACGCGUGGGAACAUGCCCUUCACUACGGAAUAGUCCCGGGAAACUGGGUUUAAUACCGUAUACGCCCUUCGGGGGAAAGAAUUUCGGUGAAGGAUUGGCCCGCGUUAGAUUAGGUAGUUGGUGGGGUAACGGCCUACCAAGCCUACGAUCUAUAGCUGGUUUUAGAGGAUGAUCAGCCACACUGGGACUGAGACACGGCCCAGACUCCUACGGGAGGCAGCAGUGGGGAAUCUUAGACAAUGGGGGCAACCCUGAUCUAGCUAUGCCGCGUGAGUGACGAAGGCCUUAGGGUCGUAAAGCUCUUUCGCCAGGGAUGAUAAUGACAGUACCUGGUAAAGAAACCCCGGCUAACUCCGUGCCAGCAGCCGCGGUAAUACUGAGGGGGUUAGCGUUGUUCGGAAUUACUGGGCGUAAAGCGCGCGUAGGCGGAUUGGAAAGUUGGGGGUGAAAUCCCAGGGCUCAACCCUGGAACUGCCUCCAAAACUACUAGUCUAGAGUUCGAGAGAGGUGAGUGGAACUCCGAGUGUAGAGGUGAAAUUCGUAGAUAUUCGGAAGAACACCAGUGGCGAAGGCGGCUCACUGGCUCGAUACU